rnacentral:rRNA from 1 species
GAUGAACGCUGGCGGCGUGCCUAAUACAUGCAAGUCGAGCGAACAGACGAGGAGCUUGCUCCUCUGACGUUAGCGGCGGACGGGUGAGUAACACGUGGAUAACCUACCUAUAAGACUGGGAUAACUUCGGGAAACCGGAGCUAAUACCGGAUGAUAUAUUGAACCGCAUGGUUCAAUAGUGAAAGACGGUGUUGCUGUCACUUAUAGAUGGAUCCGCGCUGCAUUAGCUAGUUGGUAAGGUAACGGCUUACCAAGGCAACGAUGCGUAGCCGACCUGAGAGGGUGAUCGGCCACACUGGAACUGAGACACGGUCCAGACUCCUACGGGAGGCAGCAGUAGGGAAUCUUCCGCAAUGGGCGAAAGCCUGACGGAGCAACGCCGCGUGAGUGAUGAAGGUCUUCGGAUCGUAAAACUCUGUUAUUAGGGAAGAACAAAUGUGUAAGUAACUGUGCACGUCUUGACGGUACCUAAUCAGAAAGCCACGGCUAACUACGUG